ACGCCCGCUCAAGAAACUCGAAAGGAAGUUGACGGGGCCCGCACAAGCGGUGGAGUAUGUGGUUUAAUUCGAUGCAACGCGAAGAACCUUACCUGGUCUUGACAUCCCGGAGACCCUUAGGAAACUAGGGGGUGCUUCCAUCUGGAAGAAUCUGGAGACAGGUGCUGCAUGGCUGUCGUCAGCUCGUGUCGUGAGAUGUUGGGUUAAGUCCCGCAACGAGCGCAACCCUUGCCUUUAGUUGCCAGCAGUUCGGCUGGGCACUCUAAAGGGACUGCCGGUGUUAAACCGGAGGAAGGUGGGGAUGACGUCAAGUCCUCAUGGCCUUUAUGACCAGGGCUACACACGUACUACAAUGGCCGAUACAAAGGGCAGCGACACUGCGAGGUGAAGCCAAUCCCGUAAAAUCGGUCUCAGUCCGGAUUGGAGUCUGCAACUCGACUCCAUGAAGUUGGAAUCGCUAGUAAUCGUGGAUCAGCAUGCCACGGUGAAUACGUUCCCGGGCCUU
rnacentral:rRNA from 1 species